rnacentral:rRNA from 1 species
UGGGGAAUUUUGGACAAUGGGGGAAACCCUGAUCCAGCCAUCCCGCGUGUGCGAUGAAGGCCUUCGGGUUGUAAAGCACUUUUGGCAGGAAAGAAACGUCGCGGGUUAAUACCCCGCGAAACCGACGGUACCUGCAGAAUAAGCACCGGCUAACUACGUGCCAGCAGCCGCGGUAAUACGUAGGGUGCAAGCGUUAAUCGGAAUUACUGGGCGUAAAGCGUGCGCAGGCGGUUCGGAAAGAAAGAUGUGAAAUCCCAGAGCUUAACUUUGGAACUGCAUUUUUAACUACCGGGCUAGAGUGUGUCAGAGGGAGGUGGAAUUCCGCGUGUAGCAGUGAAAUGCGUAGAUAUGCGGAGGAACACCGAUGGCGAAGGCAGCCUCCUGGGAUAACACUGACGCUCAUGCACGAAAGCGUGGGGAGCAAACAGGAUUAGAUACCCUGGUAGUCCACGCCCUAAACGAUGUCAACUAGCUGUUGGGGGCCUUCGGGCCUUGGUAGCGCAGCUAACGCGUGAAGUUGACCGCCUGGGGAGUACGGUCGCAAGAUUAAAACUUAAAUGAAUUG